rnacentral:rRNA from 1 species
CUUUACUGUAGCUUUGCAUGGUAUGUUGAAUCGUUUUGUGUAGGAUAGGUGGGAGACUUUGAAGCCGGUACGCCAGUAUCGGUGGAGUCGUCCUUGAAAUACCACCCUGAAUUAUUUGACGUUCUAACCACGGCCCAUGAAUCUGGGUCUGGGACAGUGCAUGGUAGGCAGUUUGACUGGGGCGGUCUCCUCCCAAAGUGUAACGGAGGAGUUCGAAGGUACGCUUAACACGGUCGGACAUCGUGUGUAAAGUGCAAUGGCAAAAGCGUGCUUAACUGCGAGAGCGACAACUCGAGCAGGUGCGAAAGCAGGACAUAGUGAUCCGGUGGUUCUGAAUGGAAGGGCCAUCGCUCAACGGAUAAAAGGUA